rnacentral:rRNA from 1 species
GAUGGACGCUGGCGGCGUGCCUAAUACAUGCAAGUCGAGCGAACAGACGAGGAGCUUGCUCCUCUGACGUUAGCGGCGGACGGGUGAGUAACACGUGGAUAACCUACCUAUAAGACUGGGAUAACUUCGGGAAACCGGAGCUAAUACCGGAUAAUAUAUUGAACCGCAUGGUUCGAUAGUGAAAGACGGUUUUGCUGUCACUUAUAGAUGGAUCCGCGCCGCAUUAGCUAGUUGGUAAGGUAACGGCUUACCAAGGCAACGAUGCGUAGCCGACCUGAGAGGGUGAUCGGCCACACUGGAACUGAGACACGGUCCAGACUCCUACGGGAGGCAGCAGUAGGGAAUCUUCCGCAAUGGGCGAAAGCCUGACGGAGCAACGCCGCGUGAGUGAUGAAGGUCUUCGGAUCGUAAAACUUUGUUAUUAGGGAAGAACAAAUGUGUAAGUAACUAUGCACGUCUUGACGGUACCUAAUCAGAAAGCCACGGCUAACUACGUG